rnacentral:rRNA from 1 species
UACGGAGGGUGCGAGCGUUAAUCGGAAUUACUGGGCGUAAAGCGCGCGUAGGUGGUUUGAUAAGUCGGAUGUGAAAGCCCUGGGCUCAACCUGGGAAUUGCAUUCGAUACUGCCUGACUCGAGGAUGGUAGAGGGAAGCGGAAUUCCCGGUGUAGCGGUGAAAUGCGUAGAUAUCGGGAGGAACAUCAGUGGCGAAGGCGGCUUCCUGGACCAAUACUGACACUGAGUCGCGAAAGCGUGUGGAGCAAACAGG